rnacentral:sRNA from 1 species
CCGCCGCCGGCGAAAGAUCCGGCCGCCGGAGGCUUGGCAACUUAAUUUAGUAUAUUGCUGGCCACAUGAUUACAUAAAAUGAUAUAUGAUCGUUGCUUCGUCGCUUCCUCCAUUAUUUUCCUUUGUUUUUUCUAUUUUGCUUUUUGUUUUUGAGAUGAUGGUUGUUGUUCUCCAUUUCUGAUCAAUUGAAAUAAUAAGCAGGUAGGCAACCUUCGAUAUGAUAAUAUAUAUGUGAUGAAUCGAUUUCUU